rnacentral:piRNA from 1 species
UGCCUCCCACUAAAACAAGUACUUCUAAGU